rnacentral:rRNA from 1 species
UACGUAGGGAGCAAGCGUUGUCCGGAAUCAUUGGGCGUAAAGAGCGCGUAGGUGGCCAUUUAAGUCCGCUGUGAAAGUCAAAGGCUCAACCUUUGAAAGCCGGUGGAUACUGGAUGGCUAGAGUACGGAAGAGGCGAGUGGAAUUCCUGGUGUAGCGGUGGAAUGCGCAGAUAUCAGGAGGAACACCAAUAGCGAAGGCAGCUCGCUGGGACGUUACUGACACUGAGGCGCGAAAGCGUGGGGAGCGAACAGG